ensembl:lncRNA
CGUGACCGCACGACAACAAACCACAGCAGAGCACGAGUGGAGGGGGGAGGGGCGACAAGAGGAUGGCGACGGUUGGCCGGUUAGGCUGUGAAUGGACAGCAGGCGGCAGAGCGAAGUGACGGAAGUGAAAUGAGAACAGGAGUAGAUGGCGGGAAAGAUGAUGUAGAGGUGAAAUAAGAUAAAAACAAAGCGGAAAAGGAGAACAACAAGCAGAGUGAAAGUAAACCUGUAAUGUGGAGGAAACGGACAGUGAGCGCAGUGUAACCCUGACAACGAGACACGAGGACGGAUUUAAAGUGAUCAUAAAAUCGUCUCCAGACGGUUGUUGUUCGUCCAGUAGGCGGGAUUAAUGCACCUGUAAGCUGAUUUGUCAAACGCCAUCAAGCCCUGAAGAAGAACGGAGGAGGACAGCACUACUGUGGUAGAGGAGCGGUGUGUGUGCAGACAUGGCUGCUGUUGGUGAAGCGAACUGAACUUAGAGGAGAGACACAAACUAAAGUAUAGAUCCACUCACGUCAGUGUGGAUCUGACACUAACGUCUGUAUCGCUUCAUCGAUGCUUGUAUCAAUCCCUCCAGCCUGAGUUGAAGCAGCAAUGAGUUCAGUUCAGUAUCUGAGAGAGUUCAUCAAGGAGAGACUAACUGCUGUUUGUGAAGAAAUCUUCUCAGAGGUUCAAAAAACCAUCGUCCAGUAUGAGGAGGAGAUCAACCGUCAGCACAGACUGCUGGAUAUCAGCCGGAAACCCGACAGAAACUCACACAUCAUAGAUCUACCACAACAUCAUGACUGUAAGGAAGAGGAGGGUCUGGAUGAGCAGCAGGUCUGUAACCAGGAGAGGAACUCCAGUGUGGACCAGGAGGACCCAGAGCCUCCACAGAUUAAAGAGGAACAGGAGGAACCCUGCAGCAGUCAGGAGGGAGAGCAGCUUGGACUGAAGCAGGAGGCUGAAGGCAUUAUCGUCUGGACUGAUGAAGAGCAGCUCAGACUGAUGGAGACCAUCCGGAAACCUGUGAUAAAGUUACACAGAAUAGGUAUGUAAGACUGUGAUGUCUUAAUAACAUUGAAUAUGACUCACGGGCGUCACAGUGGAACAGUGGUUACCACUGUUGGCUCACAGCAACAAGGUUUGACUCCACCAUGUGUCCGGGCCUUUCUGUGUGGAGUUUGCAUGUUCUCCCCUUGUUCACUCUCCAGAGACAUGCAGACAGCUGGGUUAGGUUAGUUGAUCAUUCUAAAUUGCCCAUAGGUGUGAAUGUGAGUGCGAAUAGUUGUCUGUCUCUCUGUGUUGGCCCUGCGACAGACUGUUGACCUGUACAGGGUGAAGCCUGCCUCUCCCUAUGGUAGCUGGGAUUGGCUCCAGCCCCCCACCACCCCAGACCCUGAUAAGGACAAGUGGAAGAGAAUUGAUGGAUGCAUGUCAGAUAUGGGCUCAAAUUGUGGUCAUAAAUAUUUUGUCAUUGUAAAUCAAAUGCGUAGUUGUGAACUCAGUUUUGUAACCUUUAAACCAAAAUAUCUGAAAAUGUUAUUGUGAUCGAGGAUGUCACUUUAAGAGAGACAAAUUUGACUUCCUGAACUAUGAAUGUCUGGGUGAUAAGGUGCUGACUCUAUGCAUCCACAAUCUCAACAGGGUGUCUGAUAAGAACAGAUGGCUUAUCCACAAAAUCCACUUCCACUCAUGUAUCUUUCGUUCACUUAUUUAUUGAACAGGAAUCCGGGUUACACAUCCAUACUGUGAGUGAGUGGAUUUGGAGUGUAGUAAAAUGCUGUGUGGUGAAGUGAGUGUGUGGUUUCUGUUGGGAAAGCACAUACAAGUCUUAAGUUUUACAUGAACAGAAUGAAUUAAAUGGGUAAUACAACAAUGCAAACAAUACUGUGUAAAACAUUUACCCAACAUAAGGGAGUAUCAACAAAAGCAAAUUUUACUAUUUACAUCAAUCCUAACUGGACUCUUUACACAAGGGCAAACACGAGAAAUUAGUGACGGCCCUUUAACCCUCUGGGGUCGACAGACGUGCCGGCGCAUCAAAAUCACAUGACCAAUUUAAGACGACACAGCAGCAAGAUGCAGCGACCCAGAGUCUCCCUUUCACUGUGGGUCGAAAGUGUGGACUUCAAACUAGUGAUGGUGAGAUGAAGCCUGGUGGUGAACUGAAGCUUUCCAUCCAACUGGUCGACUCCUGGUUUGAAGCAUUGUGAUGAUUCAUUUGCUCUACUGCGCUAUCAAGUGGACGAUUCAAGUGAAACAGGCUCAAUGAUUAUAAUGAUGUGAUGUGUAAACCUCUAAACCGAAUAAAUAAAUUGUUUUCAUGGUUAUUUAUCCCGAAUAUUGUCUCAGUAUGUCUGAUACGAAAGAGAAAGUGGAAACUAUCAGGACAGAGUUUUGGUAUGAUUGUGUAACUGUGUAAUCAUGUUUACAUUGGGAUGCAAAAGUUUGGGCAACCUUGUUAAUAGUCAUUAUUUCCCUGUAUAAGUCGUUGGUUGUUACAAUAAAAAAUGUCAGUUAAAUAUAUCAUAUAGGAGACACACAGUGAUAUUUGAGAAGUGAAAUGAAGUUUAUUGGAUUUACAGAAAGUGUGCAAUAAUUGUUUAAACAAAAUCAGGCAGGUGCAUAAAUUUGGGCACCACAAAAAAGAAAUGAAAUCAAUAUUUAGUAGAUCCGCCUUUUGCAGAAAUUACAGCCUCUAAAUGCUUCCUGUAGGUUCCAAUGAGAGUCUGGAUUGUGGUUGAAGGUAUUUUGGACCAUUCCUCUUUACAAAACAUCUCUAGUUCAUUCAGGUUUGAUGGCUUCCGAGCAUGGAGAGCUCUCUUUAACUCACACCACAGGUUUUCAAUAACAUUCAGGUCUGGGGACUGAGAUGGCCAUUCCAGAACGUUGUACUUGUUCCUCUGCAUAAAUGCCUUAGUGGAUUUUGAGCAGUGUUUCGGGUCGUUGUCUUGAUAAUGCGGGAUGGAAGGAUAUCAUGCAUAGAAUUUGAGCUUCUCGAUCGUUCAAUAUAAUCCCUUAAGAGUAGGGAGUGAUAACACCUCA